UACGUAGGGGGCUAGCGUUGUCCGGAUUCAUUGGGCGUAAAGCGCACGUAGGCGGCUUUCUAAGUCGGGGGUGAAAUCCUGGAGCUCAACUCCAGAACUGCCUUCGAUACUGGAGAGCUCGAGUCCGGGAGAGGUGAGUGGAACUGCGAGUGUAGAGGUGAAAUUCGUAGAUAUUCGCAAGAACACCAGUGGCAAAGGCGGCUCACUGGCCCGGUACUGACGCUGAGACGCGAAAGCGUGGGGAGCGAACAGG
rnacentral:rRNA from 1 species